rnacentral:rRNA from 1 species
GAGGACAGUGGCGGACGGGUGAGUAACGCGUGAGGAACCUGCCUUUCAGAGGGGGACAACAGUUGGAAACGACUGCUAAUACCGCAUGACACAUUGAGGUCGCAUGGCCUUAAUGUCAAAGAUUUAUCGCUGAAAGAUGGCCUCGCGUCUGAUUAGCUAGUUGGUGAGGUAACGGCCCACCAAGGCGACGAUCAGUAGCCGGACUGAGAGGUUGAACGGCCACAUUGGGACUGAGAUACGGCCCAGACUCC